rnacentral:rRNA from 1 species
AUGAAAAUCUUGAGCUGGAAUUGUCGUGGUAUGGCCAGCACCACGGCAGUCAGGGCGCUUCUGGAUGUCCAGAAGCAGUGGGAGCCGGAUGUGAUCUUUCUGUCUGAGACGCAUCUGAACAAAGCUAAGGCAGAGAUUCUGCGAAAGAAACUGAAGAUGGAUAAGAUUGAGGUGUAUGAAAGUAAUGGGGCAAGUGGUGGGCUGUUGAUCACUUGGCGUAGCCCUGUAGUUAUCGAACCAAUCAAUGCACAGAAAUUUUUUAUUGAUGUUGCGGUGGAAGGCCCUGAUGAGGUUUCCUAG